UUUGAUCAAGCUACUAAGAGCACAUGGCGGAUGCCUUGGCAGAUGAAGGCGACGAAGGGCGUGGUAAGCUGCGAUAAGCUUCGGGGAGGAGUAAACAUCCUUUGAUCCGGAGAUUCCCGAAUGGGGCAACCCAGCCGGAGUCAUGUCCGGUUAUCCCGGGACGAAAACCGCAAGGGAAGUAGACCCGGGAAGCCAACCUGGAGAACUGAAACAUCUAAGUACCCAGAGGAAGAGAAAUCAAUUGAGAUUCCCCCAGUAGCGGCGAGCGAACGGGGAACAGUCUAAACUCGGUCCUGCGUGAUAGCCGUUGCGCGUUGCAGGACGGGUGUUUCGGGGAUGUCAUUGAUCCCGUGUAACGACCGGGGUCGUGGAGUCAACAAGCCGAUCACUAGCCGAAGGAGCUGGGAAGCUCCACCACAGACGGUGAAAGUCCGGUAGGCGAAAGCGAGCGGCCUCCACUUUGAUGUUUCCCAAGUACCAUGGGGCACGAGAAACCCCUUGGGAAUACGGGGGGACCACCCUCCAAGACUAAAUACUCUCAUCUGACCGAUAGUGAACAAGUACCGUGAGGGAAAGGUGAAAAGCACCCCAGACGGGGAGUGAAAUAGUACCUGAAACCAUGUGCUUACAAUCAGUCGGAGUCCCGCGUUCGCGCGGGAUGACGGCGUGCCUUUUGCAUAAUGAUCCGGCGAGUUGCUUGUAUGCGGCAAGGUUAAGCCCUUCUGGGGCGGAGCCGUAGCGAAAGCGAGUCUGAAUAGGGCGUUUCAGUCGCAUGCAGCAGACCCGAAACUUGGUGAGCUAACCAUGGCCAGGAUGAAGUGACGGUAACACGUCAUGGAGGUCCGAACCGGUGAAUGUUGAAAAAUUCUCGGAUGAGCUGUGGUUAGGAGUGAAAGGCCUAUCAAACCAAGGGAUAGCUGGUUCUCCUCGAAAUAUAUUUAGGUAUAGCCUCGGAAGUUAUGUGGCGGGGGUAGAGCACUGGCUGGGCUAGGGACCUUACCAGGUUACCGAACCCAUUCAAACUCCAAAUACCGUGCACAAGAAUUCCGGGAGUCAGGCUGCGGGGGAUAAGCUCCGUGGGCCGAGAGGGAAAAAACCCAGAUCGUCAGCUAAGGUCCCCAAAUUCCAGUUAAGUGACGCAAGGAUGUGAAGUUUCACAGACAACCAGGAUGUUGGCUUAGAAGCAGCCAUCAUUUAAAGAAAGCGUAAUAGCUCACUGGUCGAGUCACUUUGCGCCGACAAUACUCGGGACUAUCAAACUGGAUACCGAAGCUGCGGACUUGACAGGCGUGCGCGUCUGUCAUUUGGUAGAGGAGCGUUCCAUAGUAGGAUGAAGCGGGCCCGUCAGGGUCCUGGGUUCUUGCCCAGGCGCAAGCAGUGGACGAGAUGGAAGUGAGAAUGCCGGAAUAAGUAGCGAUAAACCAGGCGAGAAACCUGGUCACCGUAAACUCAAGGUUUCCUGGGGAAGGUUAAUCCGCCCAGGGUAAGUCGGCCCCUAAGCUGAGGGCGAAAGCCGUAAGUGAUGGGAACCCGGUUAAUAUUACGGGACCGCUGACAUGGCGUCAUCACCGAAGGGGGGGUGCAGGAGUGAGGUCCCAUCCGCGAUCGGAAGUGCGGGUCUAAGCUGGUAGGGGGAUCCGGCAGGCAAAUCCGCCGGGUCGUCAACCCCGAGAAGCGAUAGGGAGUCCGUAAGGACACAAAAGGGACUGAAUCAUACUGCCGAGAAAAGCCUCGUCGGGAGUCAUGUGGGCGACCGUACCGUAAACCGACUCAGGUGAGUGGGAAGAAUAUUCUCAGGUGCUCGAGAGAACCUCCUUUAAGGAACUAGGCAAUCUAACCCCGUAACUUCGGGAGAAGGGGUCCCUGGAACCGUUCAGUGAAUACUUACGAAGGCGGAUCCGGGGCGCAGUGAAAGGGCUCAAGUGACUGUUUAUCAAAAACACAUGACUCUGCAAAGCCGAAGAGGCGAAGUAUAGGGUCUGACACCUGCCCGGUGCCGGAAGGUUAAGAGGAGAGGUUAGCCGCAAGGCGAAGCUUUGAAUCGAAGCCCCGGUAAACGGCGGCCGUAACUAUAACGGUCCUAAGGUAGCGAAAUUCCUUGUCGGGUAAGUUCCGACCUGCACGAAUGGUGUAACAAAUUGAGCGCCGUCUCAAAGGAGGGCUCGGCGAAAUUGUAGUGGCGGUGAAGAUGCCGCCUACCCGCAGAUGGACAAAAAGACCCCGUGCACCUUUACUGUAGCCUGGCAUUGUGUUUUGAUGAUGCUUGUGUAGGAUAGGUGGGAGACUUUGAAGCUGGGGCGCUAGCCUCGGUGGAGUCGUCGUUGAAAUACCACCCUGGUGUCAUUGGAAUUCUAACCUCGAUCAGUGAAUCCUGGUGAGGGAAAGUGUCAGGUGGGCAGUUUGACUGGGGCGGUCGCCUCCCAAAGCGUAACGGAGGCGCGCAAUGGUUUCCUCAGCGCGGACGGUAAUCGCGCUCUUAGAGUGUAAAGGCAUAAGGAAGCCUGACUGCGAGGGAGACAUCCCGAGCAGAUACGAAAGUAGGCCUUAGUGAUCCGGUAGUCACACGUGGGAGCACUAUCGCUCAACGGACAAAAGGUACGCCGGGGAUAACAGGCUGAUCUUGCCCGAGAGUUCAUAUCGACGGCAGGGUUUGGCACCUCGAUGUCGGCUCAUCGCAUCCUGGGGCUGGAGAAGGUCCCAAGGGUCCGGCUGUUCGCCGGUUAAAGCGGUACGCGAGCUGGGUUCAGAACGUCGUGAGACAGUUCGGUCUCUAUCCUCUGUGGGCGCAGGAGAUUUGAGGGUAACCCGUCCCUAGUACGAGAGGACCGGGAUGGACGGACCGCUAGUGUGUCAGCUGUCACGCCAGUGGCAAUGGCUGAGUAGCUAUGUCCGGUCGGGAUAACCGCUGAAAGCAUCUAAGUGGGAAACCCCUCCCAAGAUGAGAUCUCCCAUCCGAACAAUCGGGUUCGAAGGCCCCCCGCAGACUACGGGGUCGAUAGGCCACAGGUGUAAGGCCGGCAACGGCUUCAGCCGAGUGGUACUAACUUGGCCGUUCGGCUUGAUCAUAAAA
rnacentral:rRNA from 1 species